rnacentral:tRNA from 1 species
GGGCCCAUAGCUCAGUCGGUUAGAGCAUUUGACUCAUAAUCAAAGGGUCGCUGGUUCGAGCCCAGCUGGGCCCA